rnacentral:rRNA from 1 species
UACGUAGGGCGCAAGCGUUGUCCGGAAUUAUUGGGCGUAAAGAGCUCGUAGGUGGUGUGUCGCGUCUGCCGUGAAAGCCCGGGGCUUAACUCCGGGUCUGCGGUGGAUACGGGCAGACUAGAGGCAGGUAGGGGAGAACGGAAUUCCCGGUGUAGCGGUGAAAUGCGCAGAUAUCGGGAGGAACGCCCGUGGCGAAAGCGAGGUCCUGGACGUCUACUGACGCUGAGACGCGAAAGCUAGGGGAGCAAACGGGG